rnacentral:rRNA from 1 species
AGUGGCGGACGGGUGAGUAAUGCUUGGGAAUCUGGCUUAUGGAGGGGGAUAACUGUGGGAAACUGCAGCUAAUACCGCGUAUUCUCUGAGGAGGAAAGGGUGGGACCUUAGGGCCACCUGCCAUAAGAUGAGCCCAAGUGGGAUUAGGUAGUUGGUGGGGUAAAGGCCUACCAAGCCUGCGAUCUCUAGCUGGUCUGAGAGGAUGACCAGCCACACUGGAACUGAGACACGGUCCAGACUCCUACGGGAGGCAGCAGUGGGGAAUAUUGCGCAAUGGGGGGAACCCUGACGCAGCCAUGCCGCGUGAAUGAAGAAGGCCUUCGGGUUGUAAAGUUCUUUCGGUAAUGAGGAAGGGAUGUUGUUAAAUAGAUAGCAUCAUUGACGUUAAUUACAGAAGAAGCACCGGCUAACUCCGUGCCAGCAGCCGCGGUAAUACGGAGGGUGCGAGCGUUAAUCGGAAUAACUGGGCGUAAAGGGCACGCAGGCGGACUUUUAAGUGAGAUGUGAAAUCCCCGAGCUUAACUUGGGAACUGCAUUUCAGACUGGGAGUCUAGAGUACUUUAGGGAGGGGUAGAAUUCCACGUGUAGCGGUGAAAUGCGUAGAGAUGUGGAGGAAUACCGAAGGC